rnacentral:rRNA from 1 species
UGGGGAAUUUUGGACAAUGGGCGAAAGCCUGAUCCAGCAAUGCCGCGUGUGUGAAGAAGGCCUUCGGGUUGUAAAGCACUUUUGUCCGGAAAGAAAUCCUUGGCUCUAAUACAGUCGGGGGAUGACGGUACCGGAAGAAUAAGCACCGGCUAACUACGUGCCAGCAGCCGCGGUAAUACGUAGGGUGCAAGCGUUAAUCGGAAUUACUGGGCGUAAAGCGUGCGCAGGCGGUUUGCUAAGACCGAUGUGAAAUCCCCGGGCUCAACCUGGGAACUGCAUUGGUGACUGGCAGGCUAGAGUAUGGCAGAGGGGGGUAGAAUUCCACGUGUAGCAGUGAAAUGCGUAGAGAUGUGGAGGAAUACCGAUGGCGAAGGCAGCCCCCUGGGCCAAUACUGACGCUCAUGCACGAAAGCGUGGGGAGCAAAACAGGAUUAGAUACCCUGGUAGUCCACGCCCUAAAACGAUGUCAACUAGUUGUUGGGGAUUCAUUUCCUUAGUAACGUAGCUAACGCGUGAAGUUGACCGCCUGGGGAGUACGGUCGCAAGAUUAAAACUUAAAUGAAUUGACGGGGUCAAGCUGUUUCCU